GCUGACGAGUGGCGGACGGGUGAGUAAUGUCUGGGAAACUGCCUGAUGGAGGGGGAUAACUACUGGAAACGGUGGCUAAUACCGCAUAACGUCGCAAGACCAAAGAGGGGGACCUUCGGGCCUCUUGCCAUCAGAUGUGCCCAGAUGGGAUUAGCUAGUUGGUGAGGUAACGGCUCACCAAGGCGACGAUCCCUAGCUGGUCUGAGAGGAUGACCAGCCACACUGGAACUGAGACACGGUCCAGACUCCUACGGGAGGCAGCAGUGGGGAAUAUUGCACAAUGGGCGCAAGCCUGAUGCAGCCAUGCCGCGUGUAUGAAGAAGGCCUUCGGGUUGUAAAGUACUUUCAGCGGGGAGGAAGGUGUUGUGGUUAAUAACCGCAGCAAUUGACGUUACCCGCAGAAGAAGCACCGGCUA
rnacentral:rRNA from 1 species